rnacentral:rRNA from 1 species
GGCGAACCGGGGGAACUGAAACAUCUAAGUACCCCGAGGAAAAGAAAUCAACCGAGAUUCCGAAAGUAGCGGCGAGCGAAAUUGGACUAGCCCUUAAGCUUUACACGCGUUAGACGAACGGUCUGGAAAGUCCGACGAUACAGGGUGAUAGUCCCGUAGUUGACGACGUGUGUUCAGUGAAAUCGAGUAGGGCGGGACACGUGAUAUCCUGUCUGAAUAUGGGGGGACCAUCCUCCAAGGCUAAAUACUACUGACUGACCGAUAGUGAACCAGUACCGUGAGGGAAAGGCGAAAAGAACCCCUGUGAGGGGAGUGAAAUAGAACCUGAAACCGUGUACGUACAAGCAGUAGGAGCAGGCUUUGUCCUGUGACUGCGUACCUUUUGUAUAAUGGGUCAGCGACUUAUAUUCAGUGGCAAGGUUAACCAUCUAGGGGAGCCGUAGGGAAACCGAGUCUUAACUGGGCGUUCAGUCUCUGGAUAUAGACCCGAAACCAGGUGAUCUAGCCAUGGGCAGGUUGAAGGUUGAGUAACAUCAACUGGAGGACCGAACCGACUAAUGUUGAAAAAUUAGCGGAUGACUUGUGGCUAGGGGUGAAAGGCCAAUCAAACCUGGAGAUAGCUGGUUCUCCCCGAAAGCUAUUUAGGUAGCGCCUCGGACGAAUACUACUGGGGGUAGAGCACUGUUAAGGCUAGGGGGUCAUCCCGACUUACCAACCCUUUGCAAACUCCGAAUACCAGUAAGUACUAUCCGGGAGACACACGGCGGGUGCUAACGUCCGUCGUGGAGAGGGAAACAACCCAGACCGCCAGCUAAGGUCCCAAAUUACUACUAAGUGGGAAACGAUGUGGGAAGGCUCAGACAGCCAGGAUGUUGGCUUAGAAGCAGCCAUCAUUUAAAGAAAGCGUAAUAGCUCACUGGUCGAGUCGGCCUGCGCGGAAGAUGUAACGGGGCUAAGUAGUAAACCGAAGCUGCGGCAAUGUGCUUUUGCACAUUGGGUAGGGGAGCGUUCUGUAAGCGGUUGAAGGUGUGUGGUAACGCAUGCUGGACGUAUCAGAAGUGCGAAUGCUGACAUGAGUAACGAUAAAGGGGGUGAAAAACCUCCUCGCCGGAAGACCAAGGGUUCCUGUCCAACGUUAAUCGGGGCAGGGUAAGUCGACCCCUAAGGCGAGGCCGAAAGGCGUAGUCGAUGGGAAACGGGUUAAUAUUCCCGUACUUCUUACAAUUGCGAUGGGGGGACGGAGAAGGCUAGGUGGGCCUGGCGACGGUUGUCCAGGUUCAAGUGCGUAGGCUUGAGNNNNNNNNNNNNNNNNNNNNNNNNNNNNNNNNNNNNNNNNNNNNNNNNNNNNNNNNNNNNNNNNNNNNNNNNNNNNNNNNNNNNNNNNNNNNNNNNAUGUGAAGUCAUUGAUGCCAUGCUUCCAGGAAAAGCCUCUAAGCUUCAGAUUGUAAGGAAUCGUACCCCAAACCGACACAGGUGGUCGGGUAGAGAAUACCAAGGCGCUUGAGAGAACUCGGGUGAAGGAACUAGGCAAAAUGGUACCGUAACUUCGGGAGAAGGUACGCUCUCGACGGUGAAGUCCCUCGCGGAUGGAGCUAUUGAGAGUCGCAGAUACCAGGUGGCUGCAACUGUUUAUUAAAAACACAGCACUGUGCAAAAUCGUAAGAUGACGUAUACGGUGUGACGCCUGCCCGGUGCCGGAAGGUUAAUUGAUGGGGUUAGACUUCGGUCGAAGCUCUUGAUCGAAGCCCCGGUAAACGGCGGCCGUAACUAUAACGGUCCUAAGGUAGCGAAAUUCCUUGUCGGGUAAGUUCCGACCUGCACGAAUGGCGUAAUGAUGGCCACGCUGUCUCCACCCGAGACUCAGUGAAAUUGAAAUCGCUGUGAAGAUGCAGUGUACCCGCGGCUAGACGGAAAGACCCCGUGAACCUUUACUACAGCUUGGCACUGAACAUUGACCCUACAUGUGUAGGAUAGGUGGGAGGCUUUGAAGCACGUACGCCAGUAUGUGUGGAGCCGUCCUUGAAAUACCACCCUUGUAGUGUUGAUGUUCUAACGUCGACCCCUUAUCGGGGUUGCGGACAGUGCCUGGUGGGUAGUUUGACUGGGGCGGUCUCCUCCCAAAGAGUAACGGAGGAGCACGAAGGUGGGCUAAUCACGGUUGGACAUCGUGAGGUUAGUGCAAUGGCAUAAGCCCGCUUGACUGCGAGAAUGACAAUUCGAGCAGGUGCGAAAGCAGGUCAUAGUGAUCCGGUGGUUCUGAAUGGAAGGGCCAUCGCUCAACGGAUAAAAGGUACUCCGGGGAUAACAGGCUGAUACCGCCCAAGAGUUCAUAUCGACGGCGGUGUUUGGCACCUCGAUGUCGGCUCAUCACAUCCUGGGGCUGAAGUCGGUCCCAAGGGUAUGGCUGUUCGCCAUUUAAAGUGGUACGCGAGCUGGGUUUAGAACGUCGUGAGACAGUUCGGUCCCUAUCUGCCGUGGGCGUUGGAAGAUUGAAGGGGGCUGCUCCUAGUACGAGAGGACCGGAGUGGACGAACCUCUGGUGUUCGGGUUGUGUCGCCAGACGCAUUGCCCGGUAGCUAAGUUCGGAAUCGAUAACCGCUGAAAGCAUCUAAGCGGGAAGCGAGCCCUGAGAUGAGUCUUCCCUGAUACUUUAAGUAUCCUAAAGGGUUGUCGGAGACUACGACGUUGAUAGGUCAGGUGUGUAAGUGCUGUGAGGCAUUGAGCUAACUGAUACUAAUUGCCCGUGAGGCUUAACCAUACAACACCCAAGGGGUUU